rnacentral:rRNA from 1 species
UUUUUACAAUGGAGAGUUUGAUCCUGGCUCAGGAUGAACGCUAGCGGCAGGCCUAAUACAUGCAAGUCGGACGGGAUUGUCCCUUAGCUUGCUAAGGGGCAUGAGAGUGGCGCACGGGUGCG